ACUAAGAGCCGAUGAAAGACGUGAUAAGCUGCGAAAAGCUUCGGGGAGGAGCACAUAUCCAAUGAUCCGGAGAUAUCUGAAUGGGGAAACCCGGCAGAGGAAACCUCUGUCAGCGUGCAGUGAAUACAUAGCUGUACGUGGGGAACCCGGGGAACUGAAACAUCUAAGUACCCGGAGGAAGAGAAAGAAAAUUUAUCGAUUUCCAAAGUAGCGGCGAGCGAAAUGGAAAGAGCCCAAACCGUGAUGCGUGCAUCGCGGGGUUCGGACUGCGUUGUGGCAGACGUAAGAUAGGAGAACGGACUGGGAAGUCCGGCCGGAGAGAGUGAAAGCCUCGUAUCCGAAAUCCCAAGUCGCCUAGCAGGAUCCAGAGUAGGACGAGACACGAGAAACCUUGUCUGAACGAGCGGGGACCACCCCGUAAGGCUAAAUACUUCUUAGUGACCGAUAGCGCAUAGUACUGUGAAGGAAAGGUGAAAAGUACCCCGGGAGGGGAGUGAAAGAGAACCUGAAACCCUGUGUCUACAAGCUGUGGGACCUCUUUAUAUGAGGGACUGCGUACUUUUUGUAGAACGGUCCGGCGAGUUGUGCGUACUGGCGAGGUUAAGGACUUAAGGUCUGGAGCCGAAGUGAAAGCAAGCGUUAAUAGCGCGUCAAGUCAGUGAGUGCAGACCCGAAACCGGGUGACCUAUCCAUGUCCAGGUUGAAGCUUCCGUAAGAGGAAGUGGAGGACCGAACCCACAUCCGUUGAAAAGGGUGGGGAUGAGGUGUGGAUAGCGGAGAAAUUCCAAUCGAACCCGGAGAUAGCUGGUUCUCCUCGAAAUAGCUUUAGGGCUAGCCUCAUGAGAGUCUUAUGGAGGUAGAGCACUGAAUUGCCUAGGGGGCGUCAAAGCUUACCAAAGCAUAUCAAACUCCGAAUGCCAUCAAGAUGAUUCAUGGGAGUCAGACCAUACGAGAUAAGUUGGAUGGUCAAAAGGGAAAGAGCCCAGACCUACAGCUAAGGUCCCAAAGUACGUGUUAAGUGGAAAAGGAUGUGGGGAUUCUAAGACAACUAGGACGUUGGCUUAGAAGCAGCCAUUCAUUGAAAGAGUGCGUAAUAGCUCACUAGUCGAGAGUCCCUGCGCCGAAAAUGUCCGGGGCUGAAACACGACACCGAAGCUUAGGAAUGUGUAAACAUUGGUAGAGGAGCAUUGCUAGCGGGAUGAAGCCAUACCGUAAGGAGUGGUGGACUGCUAGGAAGAGAGAAUGCCGGAAUGAGUAGCGAGAUGAAGGUGAGAAUCCUUCAGGCCGAAUAUCUAAGGUUUCCAGAGUAAAGCUGAUCUGCUCUGGGUAAGUCGGGGCCUAAGGCGAGGUCGAAAGACGUAGUCGAUGGAUAACAGGUUGAAAUUCCUGUACUAUCCUGUAACAGAACUGUGGGGACACAGGCAGAGAGCGUGAGCCGGGAAUGGAAAGACCGGUACAAGCGAGGUAGGAGAAGAGUUGGCAAAUCCGCUCUUUAAUCUGAAGACGUGAUGUGGACUGAAAAUAAGUAGGGAAGCACGUGAGCUGACUGUCAAGAAAAGCCGCUAUUGUUUGCAGGAUACCCGUACCGUAAACCGACACAGGUGGAUGAGGAGAGAAUCCUAAGGCCGACGGGAGAAGCAUUGUUAAGGAACUCGGCAAAAUGACUCCGUAACUUCGGGAGAAGGAGUGCCAGUAAGAUGGCCGCAGAGAAUUGGCCCAAGCAACUGUUUAGCAAAAACACAGGUCUAUGCAAAACCGAAAGGUGAGGUAUAUGGGCUGACGCCUGCCCGGUGCUGGAAGGUUAAGGGGAGAGGUUAGCGCAAGCGAAGCUUUGAACUUAAGCCCCAGUAAACGGCGGCCGUAACUAUAACGGUCCUAAGGUAGCGAAAUUCCUUGUCGGGUAAGUUCCGACCCGCACGAAAGGCGUAAUGAUUUGGGCACUGUCUCAACAAUGCACCCGGUGAAAUUGAAAUACCAGUGAAGAUGCUGGUUACCUGCGCCAGGACGGAAAGACCCCAUGGAGCUUUACUCCAGCUUGAUACUGGGAUUCGGUAUUGCAUGUACAGGAUAGGUGGGAGGCUAGGAAAUGGUAACGCCAGUUGCCAUGGAGCCAAUGUUGGGAUACCACCCUUGCAGUACUGGGUUUCUAACCAGCAGCCGUGAUCCGGCUGGGGGACAAUGUCAGGUGGGGAGUUUGACUGGGGCGGUCGCCUCCGAAAGGGUAUCGGAGGCGCUCAAAGGUUCCCUCAGAAUGGUUGGAAACCAUUCGAAGAGUGCAAAGGCAGAAGGGAGCUUGACUGCGACACCGACGG
rnacentral:rRNA from 1 species